ensembl:lincRNA A630023P12Rik RIKEN cDNA A630023P12 gene
GAGAUCUGCCUGCUGCAUCCAGAGGAGAGGAGGUUUGGAGCUUGGGUACGGCUUCUCUAUGAUUCUGCGUUUGGUGAUCAGAAACUUGGUGUUUCCAAGCUGUUCAACUGAGGAAUAGGCCUUAGACCAGGUGAGUAGGUGACUCCUUCCCUCGUCGUGAACUGGCUGAGGUCCUCCUGAGAUCCUCACCCUCAUACCUUCAACCUCAGGCCAUGGAGAGCUCCCACUGCCAGAAGCCAGGCUUUCUCUGUGGGUUCUGGAUCAUGUGGUACUUCCAAGUAUUCUGGCUUGAAGCCUGAGUCACUGGGGUGCCUUGGCCGAGGCAUGAAAUUAGGGCUAUCUUCUACGAAUCGUGGUUAAUGUAUCUAAGGGGUUUGAUCUCACUUGAGAGUAAAUUUAACUGCACCAAACAAUAACUUAAGCAAAUGUGGUAUAGACAGGCAAUGUGAGGCUCAGAGAGUGGCUGGAGGAUGUCAGGGAGAACUCAGACUUGCUUCCUGAGUCACCGUCUAUAGUGAGUACCCUUAGACUUCGUUGCUAAAAUCUGCCCACCAGACCCUAGCCAUUACAUCAACAUUC